UACGAGUGGCUCAAGCGUUAUCCGGAAUUAUUGGGCGUAAAGGAUGUGUAGGUGGUUAUAUUAGUCGAAUGUCUACUUCCGGGCUUUACCUGGAUUCAGCAUUCGAAACGGUAUGACUAGAGUAUGUUAGGGGUGAGCGGAACUCAUAGUGUAGGGGUGAAAUCCGUUGAUAUUAUGGGGAACACCAAAAGCGAAGGCAGCUACACUGGGACAUUCACU
rnacentral:rRNA from 1 species